UCAUCCUUCAGAGAAACGCAUUGGCGAGGGGGAGGGUGGCAGGAGGGGCCGAGACUGACUUCACAGUGAGAAACCCGACUCACAGGGUGCGGCCGUGAGCAAGGUCAACCACUACCGUGAGGGCAGGAGGGGCGCUCAGAGGGGAGCUCCAGCUGGUAUCUUGGGUGAGGAGAUGAGAAGGGCCCUUACCUCUUUCCUAGAAUGCCCCAGGCCCUGGGAGAGAGUGUGGCAGAGGGUGCCAGCGGGGACUUGUUCCCAAAACAUAGAACCCCAAUCUUAGGAGAAAAGCAUCAAAUCCCAGUAGAGGAACAUCCUACAAAAUACCCAACCAGCAUUCCUCAAAACCGUCCAGGUUGUCAAAAACGGGGAAGUCCAGGACCCCGCGGCAGAGGCUGUGAGACUGCACGCUGAGCUUCCAGGUGACUGGUUCCUCCACCCUGGGCCUCAUACCUGGCCAGUUUCCUGAGUUUUACAGGGUCUGACCCCCCAACCCACUCCCAACGCAUCGGCCUCAUCCUCGGGUGGGUAGCAUGAGGGGGCGGCCCUUCCAGUCUUCACGUCUAGAUUCAACAAUCCGGCGACUAUCUUCAGGAAUGAGAGAACUGUUUCUAGAAGCUUCCUGGCAGUAUUCCUCCUCCUGGCCCUUUGGUCAGAGGGGAUGGUCAGAGGGAUGGUGAGUUUCUCCGCCAAUCGCUGCACGAGAGGCGGCCCCCAUUGCCUAGACUCACCAGCGUUGCCUGGACCUGCUUUCCUGGGUUGGAGAUGAGCUCCAGUCAAAAGCCUCGUUCAGGUUUCCUGUAGUUUCUGUCCGCGUUUCCUGCUGACUUAUUCUUCUCACAAACAACUUCUGAAACAAUCAAGCCCACCUUCCUCAACGUGGAUGUGACCGUCCUGUCGUGUGCAGAACAUGAUCACGUUUGCUCUUCUCAGAAGGCGAGGCUGUGCCAAUUUGUAUUAUUACCUGGAAAGGAAUCCUGUAAUGAAUAAGCCCCAGACAAAUCACGGCUCCCUGUUCAUCCGGGCGCUCGCGCUGUCGGCAGCCUUGAUGAAGUCAUAAAACAAAAUGGAGUCACAUUUGUUCCUACUAUCACCGGAUCGCAGGUGCACGGCCGAAUGCACAGGGACGUGCUGACGGAGACACUGUGGUUUCCCAUUUGACACUGGCCUUUCUAAUUUCAUUCCUGGAGUUUUGAACUACAAAGCUCAUUUUCCAAAGCUGUGAGUGAUUGUCCCAGGACAGGUGAAGGCCUGAGGAACGUCCCUCUGCUGCCCAGAG